AGCAGUCCCUACCGGCGUUUCUUUUAUCUCCAUGAUGAGGGUGACAUUUAGAAACCCGGUGUUAGCAAUGAUGUAGCGUGCAACGCUUUAACUGUAUCGUACAGACACUUGGCAUUGCCAGGUGAAAUGAAAACUAGUAUUCAUUGUUUUAUUUGUUUUGGCUGAGGUGCUGAAGUUUCCCUCCAGCACCUGGACAUUCAAAAUGGGAAGUCGCAUGGAUACUGCAGUUGCUAUCCUGGUAGCAAGUUAGUGUUAGCUAGCUAACUUAGUUCAUCUUAUCCCUAAAUUAAAGCUUAAUUAUGUGAUUCACUUAUAUUUCACCGUUCCAGAUGGUGUGGUGGUCUUCAGCGAACACCUAACUGUUUGUAUUACGGGGGGCGAUCACAUUGACUAGCUACAUAUGGUGCUUAAGGCUAAAACUUAGCAAUCACACUAAGCUAGCACGGCUAACGCUAUCCGUUGCAUAUGAAGUGAUAUGGCGGAGGCGAUAAUGAAAUUAACCCACCGACAAAGCCAGACGACCAGCUUUAGCUAGCUGCGGCAGACGUCGCUAGUUCGAUACUGACCUCUCAGCCGCUAGCAGCUAAUGCUAACUAGCAUUGUGUUCACUUCCAGGACGUUACCAUAUGUACAGACUCCACGUCAGAAAAAUGUGACAAUUUACGUUUGCUUCGCUUACUUGAAACUACAAAUACGACUCAGCAAACUCCCCCGAUCGACUAGGCUGCGUUUAUUUUGAAUUAACUGCCAACUUUCGGAACAAGUUCGCACUGUUCGGCAGGCAGUCGUCGUGGGGUUAGUCUGGAUUUCAAACCAGUCGUUUUUAAAAGUUAAUGUCUCCUGGAUAUAAACUCUACUUAGUUUAAAAUAUCCAUACCGAAUACAGGAUCAGGUUUGGCAAGUCACAACUGAGUAUAAACAAAGAGAUAACGUUGGAUUCAUUCACAUUUGCCCAUUGACCAUAGUCACAUUACAUUGUUGGAUGUUUUAACACAUUUUGACGUUGUUCCAUGCAAGAGUGGACGCACGUACAGGCGCUAGUAAAGAGUUAGCAUUAGUUAGCGGCUAACGGGACAGACAGCUAGCGGCUAGCUAGCCACCUUGUGUCGAAACGAACAAUCACGUUGAGGGGGGUGUCUUAAAAAUGUAAAACAUUCCUUACCUCCCACUCGGUACAUGUUAGCCGCCAUUCUCUCGUAACCUUUGUCAAAAAGAGUCCCGGGGUAUUCCCCGCUUGGGUAGAAAAUGGUCGAUGGUGAUCUAUUUUAUUCCUUCAUUUAUCGCAGACACCCCCGCCGCGAAACAAAGCCGGCUCCGGGCACAACAAGCCGAGCUGUGGCGGGUAAAAAGUUGAAAGUUUCCGCAAGAAACGUUCCAGAGGUGAAGCCAAAAAAUAAAUCGGUUUCCACACGGAUCAGAUAAAACAAGAAGACAAACAAAGAUUCCAUAAAUGAAAAAUCUCAUCUCAUCUCAUCGUCAUCCGCUUAUCCGGGGUCGGGUCGCGGGGGGAGCAGCUCAAGCAGGGGGCCCCAGACUUCCCUUUCCCGGGCCACAUUGACCAGCUCUGACGGGGGGAUCCCGAGGCGUUCCCAGGCCAGUGUUGAGAUAUAAUCUCUCCACCUAGUCCUGGGUCUUCCCCGAGGUCUCCUCCCCACUGGACGUACCUGAAACACCUCCCAAGGGAGGCGCCCAGUGGGCAUCCUUACCAGAUGCCCGAACCACCUAAAUGAAAAAUACAUAAAUAAAUAAAACGUUGUGCUACAUACUUGUUAUUUUUCCAGUCCCCACAUGUUAUUCUGUUCUCACCCCUCACAUUGAGGAGGUGAUAGCUGUAAAUUAUUGCAUUAAUUACUCAAAUAUAGCACGUCAAUACAAUUUUGAGGGACUUGUAUUUUUGAGGGACUGAUUUAGUUGAUUUUUAUGCUCCUAAACCCAUUACAUUUCAAAUGGAAGUAUUAUAUUUGUAUAUAAUUUACAAAACAUGAACACUUUAUAAAAUACAGUGCAUUGCUAUAUACGUAAGUCUACCUCAACCAGAUGCAGAAUUUGCCUAAUGCAUAUAAUCUUUAAAAGUGGCCACUCAGCAUGAUCAUACAUUUUUUUAUUCAUAAUAGUUAUAAUAUAUAAUAGUAUUUUACAUUGUAGUAUAGAUUAAUAAAAGGAUCCGAUUACUUGUUUGAUCACUGUUCAGGUUUAAGGGAUACUGACUGACUUCUCCUGUGAAAUGGCCUUUGUCAGCACAGUUUGAACUGAACGUUUCCAAACCCUUUUCACCAAUGGGGUUCAAUAUGAGCUCUUCUGGUCUGGGUCAUGAAGGGGAGGAACAUGUUUUUCCCUCCACAAACAGAAACAGCACAGCACAUUGUUCCUGGAGCAGCACUGCCCACUAGUGACACUUCACACACAAUACACUUUCCAGUCUGCAGAAGUUUAAUGGGAGCUUGACAGAUACAAUAUCACAGUCGUCUUAAUGUUCUUUUAAAUAUAUAUAAAACUGUACUUAAGUAAUCAUGUUCAAGUGUUACUAUCAACUGUAAGGAAAAUGAAUAAGUCAAAAUAGCUGAGGGUUGAUUUCAGUAUAAUAGGUUUGUCACAGUCUGUCUAAUGCAAAGUUAAAACCAGCUUCAGUAUUAGCUGAGAUGUCAACCAAACAGUUAAAAAUAUGAAAAUCAUGUUAAAAAAAACUUUAAGCAAACAUCUUGAUAAGCACAAUGGCCUAUACCACAGUCCACAGCUCUGGUUAAGUUUGGUAAGAAACAUCAAUGAAAACAUAGGAAUGUUCAACGAAGAACUGUUACUGAAUCAACCUGGACUCCUUUUCAAUGAGAACAUGCACCUCAUAAUCUUGUCUUUUCUAUAACUGUAAAUGCUGCUCAUCACACUACAAGUGCUGCUUUCUUUAAAUGCUAUUUACAGCCUGUGCAUGUACGUUACAUUACUUUCUAUGAAGUAUUUUUGCACUCUCUAUUAAUUUUUUGCACUAUUCCAGUUUGCACUUGUAUCAUCCUAGCCACAGUGUGCCUUUUGACUGUAUACUUUGUUGUAUUAUGAACUAUGUUUUGAGUACUUAAUAUGUUGCGUACUUAUAUGUUCUGUCUACUAAUAUGUUAACACCGGGGAUCAGAGAGAAACAGCAUUUCAAUCCCGUCUAUGUCCUGUACAUGUGACCGAAUUGACAAUAAACUUGAUACUGCAGAAGUCAUGUUCUGUACCAGCAAACAUACACAACCACUUCUCCUGAUCCUCACCAAAUAUCCAACAGAGUGACAGAUAAUCUGCGCAGUGAAAAGUAUCCCACAGUUCAGUUUCACAGGAAUUGACAUUGAUAUGGAGGCGUGCAAGUGGAAAGUGAAUAUGGCUGCUCCUCCUGAAGAGGAUUCCUC